rnacentral:lncRNA from 14 species
GUAUCCUUGGAGCAUGGAGACUGGAGCAUGGCUUCUGGUAUAUAGAAUAGUUCAGGUUCUUGGCAGUAAAAAUGAGCCCCCUGAUACAGAGACCUUCAGAAUACAUCAAAGAACAAAGAUAUAAGCGGAGAAAGAGCCCCAAAAGACAUUUUUCUCUCAGCCCCUUUGGCAGCCAGAAAAUAGGUAAAGAAGAGAAUUAA